AAUCCUGUCUAGUAAGGUGUACCCGCACCGCUAGUAGCGAGUCUUGGAGCAAAACUGGUAACAGUUAGUUUAAGCGUAGACAGUUAGGUACUAGGGUUAGUAUUGAGCCUCGAAAUUUGACAUAAAAAUAGAGUGCAGAUGUGGUCGAUUUUACAGAAUGCAACAUUUAAUACUACGAUAUGGGAAGGAAUAUUAAAACUCUACGGGGUCUAAGACC
rnacentral:ncRNA from 1 species